rnacentral:rRNA from 1 species
GAUGAACGCUGGCGGCGUGCCUAAUACAUGCAAGUCGAGCGAACGGACGAGAAGCUUGCUUCUCUGAUGUUAGCGGCGGACGGGUGAGUAACACGUGGAUAACCUACCUAUAAGACUGGGAUAACUUCGGGAAACCGGAGCUAAUACCGGAUAAUAUUUUGAACCGCAUGGUUCAAAAGUAAAAGACGGUCUUGCUGUCACUUAUAGAUGGAUCCGCGCUGCAUUAGCUAGUUGGUAAGGUAACGGCUUACCAAGGCAACGAUGCAUAGCCGACCUGAGAGGGUGAUCGGCCACACUGGAACUGAGACACGGUCCAGACUCCUACGGGAGGCAGCAGUAGGGAAUCUUCCGCAAUGGGCGAAAGCCUGACGGAGCAACGCCGCGUGAGUGAUGAAGGUCUUCGGAUCGUAAAACUCUGUUAUUAGGGAAGAAUAUAUGUGUAAGUAACUGUGCACAUCUUGACGGUACCUAAUCAGAAAGCCACGGCUAACUACGUGCCAGCAGCCGCGGUAAUACGUAGGUGGCAAGCGUUAUCCGGAAUUAUUGGGCGUAAAGCGCGCGUAGGCGGUUUUUUAAGUCUGAUGUGAAAGCCCACGGCUCAACCGUGGAGGGUCAUUGGAAACUGGAAAACUUGAGUGCAGAAGAGGAAAGUGGAAUUCCAUGUGUAGCGGUGAAAUGCGCAGAGAUAUGGAGGAACACCAGUGGCGAAGGCGACUUUCUGGUCUGUAACUGACGCUGAUGUGCGAAGGCGUGGGGAUCAAACAGGAUUAGAUACCCUGGUAGUCCACGCCGUAAACGAUGAGUGCUAAGUGUUAGGGGGUUUCCGCCCCUUAGUGCUGCAGCUAACGCAUUAAGCACUCCGCCUGGGGAGUACGACCGCAAGGUUGAAACUCAAAGGAAUUGACGGGGACCCGCACAAGCGGUGGAGCAUGUGGUUUAAUUCGAAGCAACGCGAAGAACCUUACCAAAUCUUGACAUCCUUUGACAGCUCUAGAGAUAGAGCCUUCCCCUUCGGGGGACAAAGUGACAGGUGGUGCAUGGUUGUCGUCAGCUCGUGUCGUGAGAUGUUGGGUUAAGUCCCGCAACGAGCGCAACCCUUAAGCUUAGUUGCCAUCAUUAAGUUGGGCACUCUAAGUUGACUGCCGGUGACAAACCGGAGGAAGGUGGGGAUGACGUCAAAUCAUCAUGCCCCUUAUGAUUUGGGCUACACACGUGCUACAAUGGACAAUACAAAGGGCAGCGAAACCGCGAGGUCAAGCAAAUCCCAUAAAGUUGUUCUCAGUUCGGAUUGUAGUCUGCAACUCGACUACAUGAAGCUGGAAUCGCUAGUAAUCGUAGAUCAGCAUGCUACGGUGAAUACGUUCCCGGGUCU